CCCACUUCAGGUUUGGUCCCCGCCAGUCUGGUGAAAUGGCUCUUCUCGACAUCACCAGAGAGUUCCGUCUUGCAAAAUCCAUUAUUUAGUCCUUACUUCUCUUGACAUUUGAUGGAAUUAAUUGCUCUCCUUGAGUCUCGGUUUGGGUCUUGGGAUAACACACCCUCCUUGCUUUCCUCUUCUCAGUUUCUUUUGCAGCCUUCUGUUUCUGACUGAGCUAGGCCAGACCAUAAAGAGUUGAUCUGGGUUUGAACACUGGCAACAGUGAUGCCUUCAAGUUGUUCACAGUAUAGCCUUGCAUAUGUGUUUGAGGGCUGAAUGAGCCAGAUGCUCAUUCAUUUAUCUUCACCCCAACGUUCUUGAAUAAAUGAAAUUCCAUUCUCUAUUAUGUAGCAAAGACUCCUCAGCUCAGGAGUCAGGAAGACACCACUCUAGCCUAGGCCAAUCAUGACCGGCUGAAAUUAGGUGAAUAGUCUCUGUCCUCAAGGAACUUGGAAUUUAGUGGAAGGAGCUUUUACCAAACAAUAAACCUUUACUCAGAGUAUGGCUUAAGACUUUCUUUUUCCUUCAUAUUGUUAAGUAAAGCUCCAAGCUGGUCUUUUUGGGGUCAAACAAGAACAAGCCCAGGAUUCUAAGACACAGAGUUUGCAAAUAAGAACUGGAUUAAUUUACAAAGUCCAUGAUUCAUAGAAUGGGCCAGGAGAUGAAGUUUUGGAAGUCACACUCAAAGUCGUGGUCAUUGAAACCUGGAGAAUGGCUGAGAUCAAGAAAAGAGGCUUAGAGAAAGAGGGGGCUGUGUGCAGGACUUUGGUGAUGGUCCUAAUUCACAGAACAAGAGGAGAAUAAGCAUCCAGCAAAACAAACAGCAGAGCCAUCUGAGAAGAGAUAAGGAAAUUGAAUUGUCGCAGCUCCCUCUGUGAUGAUUUGAUAUCAAAAUGAAGAAUUGUGCCAGGAGGCAGGUUGGACUGUUUAAGAGUAAUAAUGACAAUGACAGCCCACUCUGCAGUCUCUCCUGGCCCUGCUUUGUAUAACACCAGCUUCAACUCUGCAUGAGCCCUAUUGCUAUACUCCUUUUCCCCUUAAGUAGCUAUGGUCCUCACUCACGGCAAAGGUGCACCAUCUCAAUAUUGUGGACAUUUAUUGGCUAACUUCCCAGCAUCAGUUCCCUCACCUUUUUUGGCCAAAAGCAUUCUGAUUAUCCCUUGGGUAAUUCAUCUUUCCCUCCAUUUUCAGCCAUGUGGAUUGUUUAAAAUUGGUCCCACCCUUCAGCUCUAGGGUAUCCCAUCACUCUGGUUGUAGUCAUUGGUUCAGAGAUGUGCAUGUGACUGAAUCCAAGUCAGUGAAAUAAAAUGAGAUAUUCACUGGGACUGCUGGAAAAAUGGAUUUUGCUAAACCCUUCUGGACUUGAAUGUCAGCCCAGAGCUACCAGCUGCCAUCUUGGUUCCAUGAAGUUUAAGUCUGUUUGAAAUUGAAUCAAAAGCAAAGCUGACAAAGAGAGAGAAGAGAGUCAUGUUUAUGCUGUUUGGGCCCUACAUGAAGCUCCUCUUGAAGCUAGAGAUAUCCCUGAACUGUUUAGUUUUUGCUCAAAUGGCUUCAAUUUCAGUUUUCUGUUAUUUUCAACAUAAAGGGUUUUAAACAGUACACUCAAUAAUACUUGUGUUUGAGCUUGAGUGGACUAAUUAACCUGUCAAGUUCUCAUUCUACAUUUAGAAUUUUAUAAGGCUAAAACUGAAAGGUGCUAACUUCCAGAGAUAGGAUCCAGUGAUGGCUCCUCUGAGAAAAAUGCCUUGGUUGAACUAAAAGGAAGGUUUAUCCUAAAUGAAGAAGCCUAGUGUAUAGUGGAGGAAAAUAAGGAUCCAAACAGCUGUGUGUAAUCCCUUUCUUGGCUCCACUUCACGUUACCAUUACACCCCUGUUAAGCUGACUUCUUCAGGUGACUUUAACACCUAAGCCAGUUAGAAUUAAGACUGAAUGUUUCUAUCAGUUACGGUUUUUACUUUCCAAGAACAAUACCCACUCUAGUUAGUUGAAGAUAUAUAUGUAUAUAAAAAAAUGCUAGAGUCCUAAUUUUUGCAACUAUUCACAGGUCUGUAGUUGCUGCUUAUCACUUCCUAUCUUGCAGUACCCAUUACAUAUUGCUUUUAUUUUCUGGUAAUACCUCAGCUGGUUGAGGUUCUUUAUCCAGUAGAGAGACCCACAUCUAUACUACUGAAAAAAUAUAAUCACUAGUUAUGAUUUAUAUUACUCACUAUUCUGUUGGUGUAAAUUUAUUUGGUCUGACUCAAAGUGGGAUGUGAUAAAACUUAGGGUCUUGUUCUUUCUCUGAGAGCUUGAAACUGUC
ensembl:lncRNA